CAGUCCUGCAUCCCUCAGUCUCUCUGCUUUAGUUUCCAGCUCCACACCACAGCUUAUUCACACCAGUAUGUCUCUUCUCUGAACCUGUAUGGAUUCAAAAUAUCUUUUCUUAUGGAGAAGAACAAGAGGUGGGGACAACAGGAGUGUUGUGGGCCCAACUCCUUAAGCUGGUCUACUUCCAUAUCUAUAUAUCUGUAUUUAUAUGUAGAUAUACCUAUAUCCCAGAAAGUAACCAUAUCCUGGGCUGCAUCAAAGAUAUGUGCAGGUGGAGGGAGGUGAUUCUGUGUUUCCAGUUCGCUCUCAUGAGAUCCCACCUGGAAUCCAACUCUGGGGCCCCCAGCUUAAGAAUCUAAGGACAUGAACCUCUCUGGAGCAAAUCCAGAGGAGGACAAAGAAGAUCAGAAGGCUGGAGAACCUCUCAUAUGAAGACAAGCUGAGAGUAUUCCAGCUCAGCCUGAAAGGAGGGUGUGGAUCUUUGGAUAAUGUGAAGGACAACUCAGGUCUGAUUUUUUUCCUCUGGAUGAAGGACCCAGUCUUACACCAGGAUUCACAUGGGAUUUUCUGGAAAAUUAACCCAGCGCUGGUUGAGCGGCGGGUGAGGAUGCUGGGCGCAGGGCUGGGAGCGCAGGCGGUGCUGCGGGGAGCUGCAAACACAUACCGCCACCUAAAGGAAGGAAACCUGCAAGGAACCCUCGGAAAGCUGCUCCCUUCGGCUGACUCUCUGUCAGAGCUGGUUAAAACAAAGACGCUUAAUUUGCUCUUCGCAGCCUGGCUCCCUGAUGCCUUCCGAAGGGUUGUCGCCCUGGCAAAGCAGGACAAGUCCCUCAGCGUCGUGUACCCUCUGCUGCAGGACCAGUAACACAAGGGUGGCGCACCUGGCACUGGGCACCGGGUAACUUCUCAAGUUGUCCCAACUUCUUUGUGUGUCUAUGGAAUCUUGUAGCAGGGCCACGGAUUAGGUGCAGCCAGGUUUUGUGCCAAGGGAGAUGGCCGGGGAAGGCUCCGCUGGGGAGCUAAACCCCACCUGUGCUGCGGCACAGGGCUGCGGCGCUGCUGCCACUGCUGCUGCCAGGUCCUGCGGGACUGGGCCAGCUGGGAACGGGGGAAAGCUCAGGCCGAUACAUCAGUAAUGGAUGGAUGAGGAGGGUGGGUGGCAGCCGAGUAGGUGGUCUUCAGACCAUGUCUGAUUUUACUUCAUUAUCUACCGUAGAUUGCAUAGAUGCCAAGGGGACAGGACUGAGAUCUGCUCAGCCCAGCUGAAUAUCUUAACUCCUAAUACUGAAGAGACAAGCUUCUUUUGAACAGCCUUUUUCUGGCUUCAUUCCUGGCUGCACAGAGGCGGCAGGCAGAAGAAACUAUUUACAGAGAAUAUAUUCCCACCGAGUAUUCCCAAUCCGUUUAUGAGCAAAGCCUGUGAAAAUAAAGGGAUGCGGUGGGGGAGGGGAAGGGAAUCUUCCCCCUGCCUUCUGUAAGCUUGUGGAGCGUAAAGGAAAGAACCUCUUUCAAGCACAUAUAGGCGAUGCUGAGCCACAGAGCUGUGUCCUUGAGGAGUGGCUAACAUGUCAACCCACAGGGCUGAGCAGGCUCUGUACCAAAUCACCAGCAAUAAAAAAAACAGGGUGAGUUUGGGAACUGGUGGUUUGGAGUGCUGUCCAAUUUCCCUGGUGAGUGGCUGCCAAUAUCACAUUAACACCUUGACUGCCAGUAAGGUGGGGGUGUCAAAGGCUGAGCCUGCGAGUGAGGGCUGGAGGGGUGUGGGGGCACUUGUGGCUGCACACUAAAAAGCAGCCUGUGCAGGGGUGGGCUGAGGUGAGGGGAGCCUAUGCUCAUAGAAGCCUCUUUGGUGUUUCAAAGGCAAAGUCCUGGUGUUUUGGGGCACUUUUGCAGAGUAGUAAUGUUUCCUUAAGUGCAUGCCCAUAGACAGAUACACACAGUGCCUCCUGCCUAAGCUCUGCCUGCAGCCCUUUACCUGAUGUCUGACUUCAAGUAAUCGGUUGCACCCAGGUUCUUGGCAUCACACAUGGCUGUCCUGGGAGGAAUGAUGUCUCAGAGAGACAGGAGGUUAUGCACAGGGAGCAGCGCCCCGCAGAGCAGUCAUAAGCAGCACAUUCCUGGGAUUCCUGCAGGGCCAGCCCCAAUCUGCAGCUCAGAGCUCACCCGGUGAGAGCACUUCUGGUCUGGUGGGACACUGGGCCACUGUUCUCUGAGGUCAAACCAUUACCAGUUCACAGCUCCAGGAAAGCUCUCCAGGAAAGCUGCAAGGUCACUGGAAUGCAGAAUGGAUAUUGUUUUAUCUUAUGUGAGUUAUUUUCUUUUAAAAACUGAUUAUGAUCUCAGCAUCCUUACUCAGUGUGACCAUGGAGCAGGUUUGGGACAUAUCUUUCUUGUUU